rnacentral:rRNA from 1 species
UACGUAGGGGCUAGCGUUAUCCGGAAUUACUGGGCGUAAAGGGUGCGUAGGCGGACUUUUAAGUGAGAUGUGAAAUACCCGGGCUCAACUUGGGUGCUGCAUUUCAAACUGGAAGUCUAGAGGGCAGGAGAGGAGAAUGGAAUUCCUAGUGUAGCGGUGAAGUGCGUAGAGAUUAGGAAGAACACCAGUGGCGAAGGCGAUUCUCUGGACUGUAACUGACGCUGAGGCUCGAAAGUGUGGGGAGCAAACAGGAUUAGAUACCCUGGUAGU